rnacentral:rRNA from 1 species
UGGGGAAUAUUGCACAAUGGGCGCAAGCCUGAUGCAGCCAUGCCGCGUGUAUGAAGAAGGCCUUCGGGUUGUAAAGUACUUUCAGUCGGGAGGAAGGUGUCAAGGUUAAUAACCUUGGCAAUUGACGUUACCGACAGAAGAAGCACCGGCUAACUCCGUGCCAGCAGCCGCGGUAAUACGGAGGGUGCAAGCGUUAAUCGGAAUUACUGGGCGUAAAGCGCACGCAGGCGGUUGAUUGAGUCAGAUGUGAAAUCCCCGGGCUUAACCCGGGAAUUGCAUCUGAUACUGGUCAGCUAGAGUCUUGUAGAGGGGGGUAGAAUUCCAUGUGUAGCGGUGAAAUGCGUAGAGAUGUGGAGGAAUACCGGUGGCGAAGGCGGCCCCCUGGACAAAGACUGACGCUCAGGUGCGAAAGCGUGGGGAGUAAACAGG